UUCGCCCUUAGAGUUUGAUCCUGGCUCAGGACGAACGCUGGCGGCACGCUUAACACAUGCAAGUCGAACGAGAGAAGAGAAGCUUGCUUUUCUGAUCUAGUGGCGGACGGGUGAGUAACACGUGAGCAAUCUGCCUUUCAGAGGGGGAUACCGAUUGGAAACGAUCGUUAAUACCGCAUAAUAUAAUUGAACCGCAUGAUUUGAUUAUCAAAGAUUUAUCGCUGAAAGAUGAGCUCGCGUCUGAUUAGCUAGUUGGUAAGGUAACGGCUUACCAAGGCGACGAUCAGUAGCCGGACUGAGAGGUUGAUCGGCCACAUUGGGACUGAGACACGGCCCAGACUCCUACGGGAGGCAGCAGUGGGGAAUAUUGCACAAUGGAGGAAACUCUGAUGCAGCGAUGCCGCGUGAGGGAAGAAGGUUUUAGGAUUGUAAACCUCUGUCUUCAGGGACGAAAAAAGACGGUACCUGAGGAGGAAGCUCCGGCUAACUACGUGCCAGCAGCCGCGGUAAUACGUAGGGAGCGAGCGUUGUCCGGAAUUACUGGGUGUAAAGGGAGCGUAGGCGGGAUCGCAAGUCAGAUGUGAAAACUAUGGGCUUAACCCAUAAACUGCAUUUGAAACUGUGGUUCUUGAGUGAAGUAGAGGUAAGCGGAAUUCCUAGUGUAGCGGUGAAAUGCGUAGAUAUUAGGAGGAACAUCAGUGGCGAAGGCGGCUUACUGGGCUUUAACUGACGCUGAGGCUCGAAAGCGUGGGGAGCAAACAGGAUUAGAUACCCUGGUAGUCCACGCCGUAAACGAUAAUUACUAGAUAUGGGGGGAGGGACCCCUUCGGUGCCGCAGCAAACGCAAUAAGUAUUCCACGUGGGGGAGUACGACGGCAAAGGUGGAAAAUCAAAGGAAUUGACGGGGGCCCGCACAAGCAGGGGAGUAUGUGGAUUAAUUCGAAGCAACGCGAAGAACCUUACCAGGUCUUGACAUCGUAUGCAUAGCUCAGAGAUGAGUGAAAUCUCUUCGGAGACAUAUAGACAGGUGGUGCAUGGUUGUGGUCAGCUCGGUCGGUGAGAUGUUGGGUUAAGUCCCGCAACGAGCGCAACCCUUACUGUUAGUUGCUACGCAAGAGCACUCUAGCAGGACUGCCGUUGACAAAACGGAGGAAGGUGGGGAUGACGUCAAAUCAUCAUGCCCCUUAUGACCUGGGCCUCACACGUACUACAAUGGCUGUUAACAGAGGGAUGCGAAGCCGCGAGGUGGAGCGAACCCCUAAAAGCAGUCUUAGUUCGGAUUGUAGGCUGCAACCCGCCUACAUGAAGUCGGAAUUGCUAGUAAUCGCAGAUCAGCAUGCUGCGGUGAAUACGUUCCCGGGCCUUGCACACACCGCCCGUCA
rnacentral:rRNA from 1 species